UUCAUUUAUUUUUUAUUUAACCUUUAUUUAAGUAGACAAGUCAGUUAAGAACAAAUUCUUAUUUUACAAUGAUGGCCUACCUCGGCCAAACCCUCCCCUAACCCGGACAAAGCAGGGCCAAUUGUGCGCUGCCCUAUGGGACUCCCAAUCACGGCCAGUUGUGAUACAGACCAGGAUCAAACCAGGGUCUGUAGUGACGCCUCUAGCACUGAGAUGCAGUGCCUUAGACCGCUGCACCACUCGGGAGCCAAAAGUAAGGGGAUUCACCCAAAAUGCAUGCCCAUUGACGACAUGUGGACAACGUACACAAUGGCCGUUAAUACGAUUCCAAUGGAGUUUCCCAUCUCCUCAAAAUUAUUUCUGUUUUUCUUGAAAGCACCAUAAAUCCAGAGAAUGACAGAAUUAAUUGAUGGCAAAAUGUGAUGACAAACUUUGUCCACGAAGGACUGCCACGCCACCUUCCUGUUCAAGAGAGCACAGCACAACAAGGCAGAAUACAGUAAGAAUGGCCCAUGUUCUGAAUUCUGCAAUGGCCAUCCUAGUCCCCUGACCUAAACCCCAUUGUAAACCUGUGGGGUGAGCUGACGAGGAGAGUCCAUAAGCGAGGACCAUGGACUCUAAAGGAUCUGGAGAGUUUCUGUACGGAGGAAUGUUCUCAAAUCCCUUACUACGUGUUCUCCCACCUCAUUAAACAUUAUAGGAGAUGACUCAGAGCUGUUAUCUUAGCCAAGGGAGAGUGCCCAAAGUACUAAAUUCAGGGAUUCCAAUAAUUUUAACUCAAUUAAGGGUUAGAUUCGUAUGAUAUUUUGAGUGUAAGAUCAAGCUGAUAAACAGCAAUGACAUUUAGUUCAGACUUUUUUGUUCAUAAUUUACCUAGGGUGCCAAUAAUUCAGGAGGGCGCUGUAACUCUUUCAUACUAGUCAUACGCACACAUGAAGGGUCUACAGUAUGUAUGAAUUCUAUGCAGCCAAUGUAAAGUAAUUUGUAUUUUCCCAUUCAUAAUAGCUAAGCACUUCUUGGUAAUCAACUGUAAACUUUGCCGCUGAUCGAUAACACCAACAUUAAAGGUAUAUGCAUGAAUUGUAUGCAGUCAAUGUAAAGUAAAUUCUAUAGUAUUUUCCCCAUCAUAAAACAUUUAUAAAGCAUAUAUAAAGAUGCCUCACUUAUCAAAAGUCAAUAAUACGGACACAACACAGAAUGUUAAAGGAAAUAUUAACAUUUUAUUGAAAUUGUUCAGAUAUAGCUAGCACAGAAAACAAUUGCUGAGGACUUGGCCGAAGAAAACUAAAUGUUUGACUUUUCAUGAAUGGAUUUAAAAAGAUUCAUAUUCAAACCAUUCAAAUUCAAUUCCCCACUAUUUUAGUGAGUAAAACAAACCAACACUAGGUGGUAAAGCUAGCUAGCAUUCCCUCAUUAUGCACUAUAAAUAUAAGCUAGUAGCUAGCUAAGCCCUUGUAACAAUCGUCAACACGUUCGACUCAGUCAAUAAACGUUACAAAAUCGUCUUAGCUUUUUGUGAAAGCGAGAGAUCACCAGGAUCUUUUGCACUAUUUUAAGACUCGCAUUGUAGUUUUGCACAUUGCCAACCUUUAACAACAGGACAAACAACAGAAAAAAAAUGUCAUGACGUUCUUUCCAUUUUGGCUGCACAGGAGGAGAGUGUGAGAG
rnacentral:lncRNA from 1 species